AAUAUGGGAAAAUGGGGGCAACCCUGAUCCAGCCAUGCCGCGUGUGUGAAGAAGGUCAUCGGACUGUAACGCACUUUAAGUUGGGAGGAAGGGCUUUAGGUUAAUACCCUGAAGUAUUGACGUUACCAACAGAAUAAGCACCGGCUAACUCGCUGCAAGCAGCCGCGGUAAUACAGAGGGUGCAAGCGUUAAUCGGAAUUACUGGGCGUAAAGCGCGCGUAGGUGGUUCAGUAAGAUGGGUGUGAAAUCCCCGGGCUUAACCUGGGAACUGCUUUCAUAACUGCUGAGCUAGAGUACGGUAGAGGGUAGUGGAAUUUCCUGUGUAGCGGUGGAAUGCGUAGAUAUAGGAAGGAACACCAGUGGCGAAGGCGACUACCUGGACUGAUACUGACACUGAGGUGCGAAAGCGUGGGGAGCAAAC
rnacentral:rRNA from 1 species